UGCAUAUCAAUUAACGGAGGAAAAGAAACUAACAAGGAUUCCCCUAGUAACGGCGAGUGAAGCGGGAAGAGCUCAAAUUUGUAAUCUGGCAGUCUUUUGGCUGUCCGAGUUGUAAUCUGGAGAAGUGUUUUCUGUGCUGGACCGUGUACAAGUCCCUUGGAACAGGGCGUCGUAGAGGGUGAGAAUCCCGUCUUUGACACGGACUCCCGGUGCUUUGUGAUGCGCUCUCGAAGAGUCGAGUUGUUUGGGAGUGCAGCUCAAAAUGGGUGGUAAAUUCCAUCUAAAGCUAAAUAUGGGCGAAAGACCGAUAGCGAACAAGUACCGUGAGGGAAAGAUGAAAAGCACUUUGGAAAGAGAGUUAAACAGUACGUGAAAUUGUUGAAAGGGAAACGCUUGAAGUCAGUCGCGUCUCCUGGGACUCAGCCCUGCUUUCCUUGCAGGGUGCAUUUCCUGGGACGACGGGCCAGCAUCGAUUUCAGUCGCUGGAGAAAGGCAAGGGGGAAUGUGGCACCAUUUCUGGUGUGUUAUAGCCCCCGGUCGUAUACAGCGACAGGGAUCGAGGAUCGCAGCACGCCUCUAAUGGCCGGGGUUCGCCCACGUCAACGUGCUUAGGAUGCUGGCGUAAUGGCUUUAAGCGACCCG
rnacentral:rRNA from 1 species